rnacentral:lncRNA from 1 species
CUUUUUCUCUGUGCAUCCUCAGUGACGCGGGGCACAGCUCUGCCCGGGGGCCUACCAGAGCCCACCUGGACCCCACACUGGGUCAGCCCUGGUGCGGAGGAGGCCGCUGCGCGGCCAGGUCACAGUCGGCACCAGAAGUUUGGCAGAUCUCAGUGAGGCGUUAGUUUGCAUUUCCUUGUGACGGGUUUUGACUGGAAUGCCAGGCUUAACGUUGCUCAGAAGUUGCUUCUAUGAGGACGUCUCCCAGCAGCUGUCAGUGUUUCCAAUGAGUCAUCGCCAGCCCCUGCAAUGAGCCUCUCAGGCUGCCAGGCCGCUCCUCUGAAGGCGCUGAGCCGCCUCUAAUCACAGCGCCACACUGGCCACAGGUCGCUGGGUAUAGGAUGAACCCAGCUGUGAAUAGGAUGCAUUUCCUGGGAGGUUUCUGUGAAGUUACUGAACUGCCAAAAGAGAAUGCUUUAAAUAAUUCAGCACAAUCUUUGCAUAAAUCACACCAUUCAGCUGAGGUGCCUGUCAGCAGUCAAGUGAUUGAGAGCACAAACUGUCCCAAAGACACAGCCCCCUUCCCCCUGGAGACGCGCACAGCCUGCAGAAGAGAUGUCACCUGAUGCAGCGUUGUGGUUUAAAAACUCAUUAUGGGAAGCAUGAGGCUGGACCCAGGGGACCCUGGAGGUGAUGCAGGGGCUUUGGCAGCCUGGAAGCUGUUGGAGGAGGGGCCCUUGGUGGAAGUGGGGACAGUUUGAGCCUCCGGCCUCCAAUUCCCUCCCGCUGGCUUCUGGGCCGCACCUCCAGGAAUCCAGCUAGACCCGCAGGGCUCUGACUCCAGACUUUAUUAAAUGUUUCCUCUAACGGUUCUGGCCAUUCUGCUGGGCCAUUAAAGGCUACCCCAGGGCCUCAGA